rnacentral:siRNA from 1 species
UCGAAGGUUUCACAUACGUGUG